GAUGAACGCUGGCGGCGUGCCUAAUACAUGCAAGUCGAGCGAACGGACGAGAAGCUUGCUUCUCUGAUGUUAGCGGCGGACGGGUGAGUAACACGUGGAUAACCUACCUAUAAGACUGGGAUAACUUCGGGAAACCGUAGCUAAUACCGGAUAAUAUUUUGAACCGCAUGGUUCAAAAGUGAAAGACGGUCUUGCUGUCACUUAUAGAUGGAUCCGCGCUGCAUUAGCGAGUUGGUAAGGUAACGGCUUACCAAGGCAACGAUGCAUAGCCGACCUGAGAGGGUGAUCGGCCACACUGGAACUGAGACACGGUCCAGACUCCUACGGGAGGCAGCAGUAGGGAAUCUUCCGCAAUGGGCGAAAGCCUGACGGAGCAACGCCGCGUGAGUGAUGAAGGUCUUCGGAUCGUAAAACUCUGUUAUUAGGGAAGAACAUAUGUGUAAGUAACUGUGCACAUCUUGACGGUACCUAAUCAGAAAGCCACGGCCAACUACGUG
rnacentral:rRNA from 1 species